CAGCCGCGCGGUAAUACGUAGGGUGCGAGCGUUAAUCGGAAUUACUGGGCGUAAAGCGUGCGCAGGCGGUUCGUUAAGACAGAUGUGAAAUCCCCGGGCUUAACCUGGGAACUGCAUUUGUGACUGGCGAGCUAGAGUAUGGCAGAGGGGGGUAGAAUUCCACGUGUAGCAGUGAAAUGCGUAGAGAUGUGGAGGAAUACCGAUGGCGAAGGCAGCCCCCUGGGCCAAUACUGACGCUCAUGCACGAAAGCGUGGGGAGCAAACAGGAUUAGAUACCCCUGUAGUCCCUGUCUCUUAUACC
rnacentral:rRNA from 1 species